GAAAGCGAUGCUAAUACCGGAUAACAUCAUAUUAACCAGUGGUUUUUAUGAUCAAAGAUGACCUCUACAUGUAAGUUGUUGUUUGAGGAGGAGCCCGCGUACCAUUAGCUAGUUGGUGGGGUAAAGGCCUACCAAGGCUACGAUGGUUAGCUGGUCUGAGAGGAUGAUCAGCCACACUGGAACUGACACACGGUCCAGACUCCUACGGGAGGCAGCAGUGAGGAAUUUUGCGCAAUGGGGGAAACCCUGACGCAGCAACGCCGCGUGAGUGAUGAAGGCUAUAGGGUCGUAAAGCUCUGUCAAGUGGGAAGAACCUAUCCGGGAGUAAUAUGUCCGGGUAUUGACGGUACCACUGAAGGAAGCACCGGCUAACUCCGUGCCAGCAGCCGCGGUAAUACGGGGGGUGCAAGCGUUAUUCGGAAUCAUUGGGCGUAAAGGGCACGCANGCGGCCUGGUAAGUCAGAUGUGAAAGCCCCGGGGCUUA
rnacentral:rRNA from 1 species